rnacentral:rRNA from 1 species
AAAAAGCUCGUAGUUGGAUUUUGGUUAAGAGGGCGCGGUCGGCCGUUUGGUCUGUACUGCGUUGUCUUGACUUCCUGAUGAGGACAUGCUCUUGGUUAACGCUGAGACAUGGAGUCAUCGUGGUUACUUUGAAAAAAUUAGAGUGUUCAAAGCGGGCUUACGCUUGAAUAUAUUAGCAUGGAAUAACACUAUAGGACUCCUGUCCUAUCUCGUUGGUCUCGGGAUGGGAGUAAUGAUUAAGAGGAACAGUUGGGGGCAUUCGUAUUUCAUUGUCAGAGGUGAAAUUCUUGGAUUUAUGAAAGACGAACUUCUGCGAAAGCAUUUGCCAAGGAUGUUUUCAUUAAUCAAGAACGAAAGUUGGGGGCUCGAAGAUGAUUAGAUACCAUCCUAGUCUCAACCAUAAACGAUGCCGACUAGGGAUUGGUGGAUGUUAAUUGAUGACUUCACCAGCACCUUAUGAGAAAUCAAAGUUUUUGGGUUCCGGGGGGAGUAUGGUCGCAAGGCUGAAACUUAAAGGAAU